rnacentral:rRNA from 1 species
UACGUAGGGUGCAAGCGUUAAUCGGAAUUACUGGGCGUAAAGCGUGCGCAGGCGGUUCUAUAAGACAGAUGUGAAAUCCCCGGGCUCAACCUGGGAACUGCGUUUGAAACUACAAGGCUAGAGUGUAGCAGAGGGGGGUGGAAUUCCACGUGUAGCAGUGAAAUGCGUAGAGAUGUGGAGGAACACCGAUGGCGAAGGCAGCCCCCUGGGUUAACACUGACGCUCAGGCACGAAAGCGUGGGGAGCAAACAGG